GUCCACCUCAGAACUAUCAUUGAGCAGUUUCUGCGUAAGAAUGCAUUCCUGUAUAUGAAGUAAGAAUAGUGUGAACAUGCAUAAACAUAACUUAUCAAUUGAGAUAUGGACAUACUAUAUGAAGUGGGUAUGUUACUGCUGAGAAAUAAGAAAUUGAUAAUUGGAAAGUUGAUAUCAGCCCGUUUGGUGUGAAGUCGUUCAUCUGUUUUCUUUAUUGGGUAUACGAUCAUGGCAUGCAGCAGCCUUUUUGUAUGAAUAUUAAGUUCAUUUUUAGACAUUUAGAUGGUUCUAAAUGAAUUCUACUUCACACUAGUCCAACGACAAAUAGACUAGAAGGGGUGCACAGUUCGUACCAAAAUGGAAAACCGACUAUCUGUGAAAAAUCACUCUUCCAAAACUUACCAAAUAUAUUGUUGGUUACACAGUUCAGCUUUUUGAUAAUAUCAUAAUAUCAUAUUUACUGUAUAUACUGAUAGAAUCGGUGUUGUUCUUCACAAACGAAGAAUUAUUAUAAUCCAAAAAUAAGAAAUGUUUAUCUACGAUUACCAUUUUUACAGAAAAAGCUAAAAUUUGUUUACUGAGAUAAUGAAGUCGAUCUUUCAAUUAGGCAUUGGGAUAUGUAGUGUUAAGCAUGGAGAAUCAAAAUUCUUAUGUUGUUGCAGAAUUGCAGAGAUUGUGUACGGAUAUUUAGCAGUACAAGCAGCACAAGCAUGUUUAAUAAAGGAUCUAGUUGUAUUGAAUACACAAUACACAUUGGUGACCCCGGGCUGAUUUCUGUCCAUGAUAAAAGGUCCUGCUAAGUGACAGUUUAUAACAAUGCCAAGAGGUAGAGGCAGGCGUCGUCGGCAGGACACGGUUAGAGAUUCGUCUUAGAAUGGCUCCCAGGGAACAACUUCAACCACCAUUUAGGAAUGAGAAAAGGCGUCCCAAAGUUGAUGUUGAUGAAGAUGCCCCUGAAGUAAGACGACGGAGGGUUGAUGAACCUCAACUAGUUGCCUUGCAACCAGAUGUAGAAUUCAAGAGAUUGAACCUGAAUUAGCUGCCUUAG